rnacentral:SRP_RNA from 1 species
GCUGGGCGUAGUGGCGGGCGCCUGUAAUCCCAGCUACUCGGGAGGCUGAGGCAGGAGAAUUGCUUGAACCUGGGAGGUGGAGGUUGCAGUGAGCCGAGAUUGCACCACUGCUCUCCACCCUGGGUGACAGAGUGAGACUCUGUCUUAA